UUGAAGCCAAGGUUCAUAUCCCAAUUAAGAGUCAAGACCAUGGACCUGGCGUUUCUGCAACUAUCAGGUCCUCAAUUAAGAAAGAACAGAAAUGGUUGGAGCCUUCAAAUGUGAAUUCUGUGCAAGUCCCAGACUCUUUAGUUGCACCUAAGACACCUUGUUCUGAACUGGUGCCUGCUUUGCAAGAUACGCCAGGUUCUGGAAAAGCUUUUAUUGUUAACCCUACUAAUAAUAGCCCUUUUGAACCUUCUCUAAACAAGGUACCUAUGGAAGUCCCCACCGACCUAUCAGCCUAACAUGUGGAUUUUAAGGGUUUUGGACGGAUAGGGAAAGUUUUUCUUCCACUACUAGAGGAAAUGGCAUCCUUCAUUGAUUCAAUGCCAACUGAAAAGUAGUAAUUUGUUUGCUAACUCUGCAUUCAAUGCUUUGGGACGAGUGCUGUAUUUUCUCAAGACUACAAAGGUCAAGGAUAUGACACAGGAAUCUUGUGAACGCCUUUAGCUUUUCUGGGAGGAGCUUGAGACCUUCAGAUUUGACUUGGGAUGGCUGGAGCCUCGAGUUCAAUAUGCCCUUGGUGUGAAGAGAUUGGUGCAAAGGGCAGGAAGAAGGAAGAGGCUAAGAGAAGAUGUAGAUGAUUUGGAGAAUGAAAUUAAGAGGCGGAAGCACAAUGUACUUGUUUUGGAGACUGAAGUUCAGAGGCAGAGGGCUGCACUUGCUGUUGCAGAGGUAGUAGCUAAGGGAGACUUGGCAGAGUCCGGUUUACUUGUUACUAAAGUUCCUGUUCCCCCUGUUUCUCUGCUAAUUUCAUGACAUGUGGCAAGCCACUUAAAACCACUUAACUUUGUUUACUCUUUUUGCUUUUCUUUUUUUUUCUUUUUUUUUUUUGCUUUUUCUGCCUGUUAUGCCCCUUUCUCUCUUCUUUCCCCCUCCCUCCGUCGUCUCCUCUCCUCUCCUUCCUUUUUUGUUCUCUUUUCCAGACCUCCACCUCAACAUUUUCUCUCUCUCUCUCUCUCUCUCUCUCUCUCUCUCUCUCUCUCUCUUCUAUUUUUUUUUUUGCUUUUGCUUUUGCUUUGCUUUUCUUUUUCUGUCAUCUCCUUUUUUAUUUCUUUUUUUAGUUUCUCCUUCACCCCCUUUUUCCCUACCUUCUCUUCUCAUUUCCGCUCAUUUUUCCCUUACCAGCCCAAAAUAACACAUGGACUCGAGCUAAAACACCAGCUCUAAACCCUCUUCGUCUGCUCUCGCCUUCAACAACGAAGCCAAAAUCUUCGCUGGUCUUCAACAAGGCAAAUCUUCGAUCGUAGUUAAAUCUUCAUUCGUCUUCAAAGAUUUGUCUUCGCUGUCGAUAAACAUGCAAGAGCCUUUUUCAAAUUGUGUUUUGACAUGGACAGUGAACUAUCAGUUGUGCUGUUUUUACCCAGUACCAAUUGAUUGUUAACUAGCAUUUCUUUAUUGGGAAUUUGGACUUUGAUCAUUGAAUCUCAAAUGUGUUCCUUUCUUCCCUCGCCACUUUUUUGAGAGAGAGAUGAGAGAAAAAGAAAAAUAAAGCAAAAGCAAAAAAAAAAAAAAAAAAAAAGAAGAAAGAAAGAAAAAACGUGGUGGUGGAGAUCUGGAAAAGAGAACAAAAAAGGAAGGAGAGGAGGGGAGAAGGAACGAGAAAAGAGAGAAAGGGGCAGAACAGGGAGAAAAAGCAAAAAAAAAUAAACAGUAAAAAGAAGCAAAAAGAGUUAAUAGAGUUAAGUGGUGUUAAGUGUCUUGUCACAUGUCACGAAAUUAGCAGGGAAACAGGGGGCCACAGGAACUUUGGUAACAGGUAAACCGAACUGGACUUGGCAAAGGUGGAAGAAGACUUCAAUGGGAUUGACAUGGAUAGUGAGAUGGGUUAUGAGAGGCCUUAGUCUUAAUGGGGAGUUUUCUCCAAGAUCCGAGUACGAUUUAUAGGAGGCAUAUCUGCAAUAUAUAUUUACCACUUGCACGACUAGGAAUUUUGAAACUUAUGCAACGCUUGAAUUAGCUGUCUGUACGUUAUAUAAUGUUAAGAAUUAUGUAAAAAUCUUGUAGUUUCUUUUGAAGAGUGGUCUAACUUAUUGAGGUUGCAGUUCUCCUUUGUCAUCUUUUGUUCAUUGCAUGAUUUAUCAUUUAUUCACUUGAGCUAUAUAUUUGCAGAAUAUAGUUCCAUUUUAUUUAUUUAUUUUUAUUAGUAGAGUAAUUAGAACCAAAUCGAACCAGCCCCCUUGAAAAUACCCAAAUAUAUUAAAAACUUCUACACUAGAGGGAGUUGAAACCUGACCAAUAAUUGCACACCACAUCAACUUUCCACUGUGGUACGCACACUUCUUGUUAUAUAUUUGUACGACGAGGAUAUUUAAUAGCAUUUUAUUAUGAAAAGGACGUCAUUCGGCUAUAAUUUUCCUAAAUCUAUUGUAGCAUGUGAAAACUUUGUCUUGGAAGAGGAAAAUGGUUCAAAAGUCAUCAAUUUGCUCAUUGCAUUCAAAAUUGAUUAAUGACAUAUUUGGUACCACCAUACAUUAAAGUAGUCACUACCGUCAAAUUCUUUUAAUAUUUUGUCGAACUUGGUUAUGUGACUCAUUUUUUAAGGGUAUGUGAUUAAAAAUAUAUCUAAAGGUGCAAUAUGCAGCACUUAAUCUGUGUUUUCCAGUGAGAGAAGGUGCAUCUACACCUCCUUGUGCCUUAAUAGAUCAGCCAAUACAUAUGCAUAUCAAUAUCUAUAGAUUAUUUCAAGCAUAGAAUGAGAAAAGGUAAAUAAAUAAAAAAAACAUGCGCAAUAUAAUGAAAAUGUUGCACUAAUUUGAGAGUGGUUUAUUUGUUGGGCUUAACCACAUGGCCCUAAAUUUAGAGGGUUUUUUUUUUUUUUUUUUUUUUUUUUUUUUCGGACUUACCCCAAAUUUAGGGUUGGGGCAUAAAAUUCCGAUACUGCGCAUUAGGCCAAGUCCAGUUUUGUUUUUUUUUUUUUUUUGGUUUGUUUUUUUUCAUCAUAUUAUUUCAAGCAUCACGUGAAGAGCUAGCUAGCUGGCUAACCUUUUGCGGACAGGUUGAGUUAUCAGUGAUAAUGAAAUAGUGGAAUCCAAAUUUACACUAAAAUGGUUAAAAGAUACUCAGACCACCAUGAAUGUGAUUUGCAUGGAAUUAGAAAUAUCUUAGCUGCCUAGCCCUCCGAGGACUCAGGCAGGGCUUUAAUUGGCUACAAUACAUUUAAGACAUGCCAAUGUUAUUUAUGGGCCUUCAGAGCAGGACUCUCUCUCUCUCUCUCUCUCUCUCUCUCUCUCUCUCUAGCAUAGCCAUAUCACAUAAUUUUUUUUGGGUUUUUUUUUUCUUAUUUAUUCAAAUACUAUUGUCAAUGAUAUUUCAACCAAACUUUAUCUUUUUUUACUACAAACUCAUACACUCACACAUAAAGAACAAAAAAGUUUAUGCACACGUGUCAAAUUCUAAGUAAAAAAUGCUCGUUAUACAGCCAAGUAUUUUCCUUUAGUUUUAUAUAUAGAAAUCCUUUAAAACAUUAAAGUCUAAGUAUUCUUCAAACUUAAGUUAUAAGUAUUCUUCAAACUUAAGUUAAGUCCUUUACUCAGCAAAAUCAUUUUAAAACUUUAAAAGAAUAUCAGAGAAAUUUUGAAAAAAAAAAAAAAAAAAACUCUAUCAGUAUGUUUUUUAAAUAAUACAAAAUAAAAAGCACCAGUUUGACCAUAAAAAGUAAAAAUAAAAACAAAAACGUCCCAUACCGGACAAAUAAAGUUGGAGCCUUUCACUGGAAGUUCAAGUGCCACUGUGGUAGUGCUGUGGCUUUGUUGGGUUUUUCCAAUUUCUUUUCAUCCAAACUCUCUGUCUCUCUCUCUCUCGGAUCGUAGGCUUGUAGAGUGGAAAGAAGGCAAGUCUCUCAAGUCUCAAACAUCGUUCGUUUAGUGUGAUAUUACUUGGCGUUAUGGGCACUAUUUUUAUUUUUAUUUUUUGGGUUCUGAUUUAUGGGUUUUAUUUGGAAUUGUUGUCACUUUAGAAUGAAGAACAAAAAGGAAGAGGAAGAUGUUGUGUCUGGGACAUUCACAUGGGUCAUCGACAACUUCUCUAAGCUCAAGACCGACAAACAUUACUCUGACGUUUUCACCAUCGGUGGCUUCAAAUGGUACGUUUUAUUUUAUGUUGCCAUUCCUAGAAGACCCAUUUGUUCUUUAUUUUUUUUUUGGGGGAUCUGAGAAAAAAUCAAUCUUCAAAAAUGGCAUUUUGAAGCUCAAAUCGUAAAAGGAAAGUUUUGAUGUAGCUAUUGCUUUCAUUCAACCAUGGCUGUUUAAGUAACAAGCACAAGUAUCAAACUUGGCCCAUAAUUUCUGUUACUGAGAUUUUUACUGGGUUUGGUUGGUUUUUUAUCAGGCGGAUCCUUAUACGUCCAAAGGGGUCACACGACCCUGAAUCUGAUGUCGUAGACCAGUUGUCCAUAUAUUUGGGUGUUGCAGAUGCUUCAACAUUGACACCAGGGUGGGCUAGAUAUACACACUUUAGCUUCACCCUGGUUAAUCAACUUGACAGCAGCAAGUCAAAAAUAAAGCAGACACAGGGUAUCUCUUUGCUCUUCAUGUUCUCUGUUUUCUUGUCAUUUAUAAUUUUUUGUUUUGUUUUUUUAAAUUUAUGUAACUUUGUCAUCAAACAAUAUUCUCUUAAUCGUUGUUUUUACCUGAUUAAUUACCUGGUGAUGGGCUUUGCAUUCUUAACUAUGGCUUUUGUGUUCCUUGAUAUUUUUCUUUCACAGGCAUUGCGAAAGAGUUCAAAGAAGAAAGAAGGGAGUGGGGCUACAAAUCGUUCAUGCCUCUUUGCGAGCUUUAUGACUGCAGUGCAGGUUAUCUGGUGAAUGAUAUAUGUAUUGUUGAAGCCAAGGUUGAUAUCCCAAUUAAGAGUCAAGACCAUGGACCUGGCGUUUCUGCAACUCUCAAGUCCUCAAUUAAGAAAGAACAGAAAUGGUUGGAGGCUUCAAAUGUGAAUUCUGUGCAAGUCCCAGACUCUUUAGUUGCACCUAAGACACCGUGUUCUGAACUGGUGCCUGCUUUGCAAGAUACGCCUGGUUCUGGAAAAGCUUUUAUUGUUAACCCUACUAAUGAUAGCCCUUUUGAACCUUCUCUAGGAAAUAAUGUUUAUGCAACUUUGGAGUCCACAAAGAAAGAAC
rnacentral:lncRNA from 1 species